UACGGGGGGGAGCAAGCGUUGUUCGGAUUUACUGGGCGUAAAGGGCGCGUAGGCGGCGUGACAAGUCACUUGUGAAAUCUCCGGGCUUAACUCGGAACGGUCAAGUGAUACUGUCGUGCUAGAGUACAGAAGGGGCAACUGGAAUUCUCGGUGGUAGCGGUGAAAUGCGUAGAUAUCGAGAGGAACACCUGCGGCGAAGGCGGGUUGCUGGGCUGAUACUGACGCUGAGGCGCGAAAGCCAGGGGAGCGAACGGGG
rnacentral:rRNA from 1 species